rnacentral:rRNA from 1 species
AAGGAAACCAACAGGGAUUGCCCCAGUAACGGCGAGUGAAGCGGCAAGAGCUCAAAUUUGAAAGCUGGCUCCUUCGGGGUCCGCAUUGUAAUUUGUAGAGGAUGCUUCGGGAGCGGUCCCCAUCUAAGUGCCCUGGAACGGGACGUCAUAGAGGGUGAGAAUCCCGUAUGGGAUGGGGUGUCCGCGCCCGUGUGAAGCUCCUUCGACGAGUCGAGUUGUUUGGGAAUGCAGCUCUAAAUGGGUGGUAAAUUUCAUCUAAAGCUAAAUAUUGGCCGGAGACCGAUAGCGCACAAGUAGAGUGAUCGAAAGAUGAAAAGCACUUUGAAAAGAGAGUUAAAAAGCACGUGAAAUUGUUGAAAGGGAAGCGCUUGCGACCAGACUCGCUCGCGGGGUUCAGCCGGCAUUCGUGCCGGUGUACUUCCCCGCGGGCGGGCCAGCGUCGGUUUGGGCGGUCGGUCAAAGGCCCUCGGAAGGUAACGCCCCUAGGGGCGUCUUAUAGCCGAGGGUGCAAUGCGACCUGCCUAGACCGAGGA